rnacentral:lncRNA from 1 species
CAAUGUGUGUGUGUGUGUGUGUGUGUGUGUGUGUGUGUGUGUGUGUGUGUGUGUGUGUGUGUGUGUGUGUGUGUGUGUGUGUGUGUGUGUGUGUGUGUGUGUGUGUGUGUGUGUGUGUGUGUGUGUGUGUGUGUGUGUGUGUGUGUGUGUGUGUGUGUGUGUGUGUGCGCGCGCGCGCAAACACGCGCACACAUGUGAGACAUAAAGGACUUCUUGCACCAGAGUUGGUUGUGACUCUGCGUCCGUAAAUGGACACAAUGUACAAGCCUCAAAAAGCAGCAUAGACAAGCAGCAACAUGGGAUUGAUUGGGUACAAGGGCACCAAUGAGCAUGGAAGUUCUGGCACCAAUGAGCACGGAGCAUCAAGGUGCCCAAGAGCUGCAGAGGGAGCAACUCCCAGAAGCCUCCCCUUUUUUCCUUCUGCUUUCUCCAAUAAGAUUAUGUUUCCUGCUGCUGAAAAGAAACAUGUGAUGCGAGCCCCAAAGUGAACGAGGCAAGCACACAUGAAGAUGACGCCACACAGCACAUUUCCGGCCCUGUUAAAGCCUCAAAAAACACAUCAAGGCAGUCCACAUCAAUUCCACAGCUGCACAGCGAGUCGGCCAUAUGAAAAAAGGUUAAUAGUUUGGUAGAAUUUCAGAUCUUAGCAAUUUUUAUGUUUGACACUUUCUUUGGAGACGUGUAGAGGUUGGUGACAUGACACUUCACAAUGCUCUCCCCCCUUCCCCCCCCCCCCCCCCCCCCCCCCAAAAGCCCUCUUGGUUACUGCCCAUUCCCCAAAGCAGGUCAGAGUGAUAAGAGGCAUUGCGCCAUCCACAUCAACCUCUGUGCUGCUACGGCUUAAAUCUAGCUCUUUUUGACUCACUUGCGUUUCCCAACACUGAUAUCAGUAUGACUCGGGAGGCAUUGCGUCUCAUUGAAUAGCUUAUUAUGCCUUCUCUUUAGGAAAGACAUAAUGAGAGAAAGAACUAAGAACAUGUUUAAGAAAAACAUUAGCACGUAUGAAAGAUAUGUGUUGGCUGGGGUCGCACUCUCCCUGUCAGAUUUGUUGGCUCAAAUCUCAGAGGGGGCGACGGGCCAAAAUUGCUGAAAAUGUUCUUUCCCACCAGCACUUUCCAAAUCUGACCAUGCCAACCUUCAUGGUAUCAAUAAAACCCAUGUUCACCAAAAAUGACAAGAGUCCAUUGACCCCAGAUCACUCCCCUGGCCUCAGAUCACCCUAAAAUGGCCCACAGCUCCACCCUGUAUGGGUGAGAGCAUGGUGAGAACAUGGGCUUCAUGUUGGUCUUGAGCUUGAAUCUUGCAAGUUACAGCCACCAUACUCAAGGAAUAUAUCAAAAGUACACCUAUUUGGGGCCUCCGUCGCCCCCCUCUGCUCAAAUCUCAUUCAUUCCUGAUUCCUUGUACUUCAAAUUUGGGAGCUAAAGUUCUUUUGUGGGUCAAGGCUCGUGACUUCCCUGAUUAAAUGUUAUUGCGCAUAACUCAGCUAUGACGUUUUUUCAGAAUGAAAGAUCUAGCAGAAAAAUUGAUGUGAAUUGAAAGCUAGGCCAGAAUCGAAAACCAGUGCCUGCAUUUCCUUUUAUGAACCCUGGCGCACCAGCUGUCGGGUUGCAAAAUUUGGCAGGUUUAGCAAUAUCGCCUUCCUGGCGGGCCACCAAACUCGCCGCUUUUGGAGCAUGAGUACUCUCUUUUAUUCAAUGAAUCAUUCUCUAAAUUUUGGGGCAGGAACUCCGCACAGCUGGAGCGGGAGCAGCUGACGCAGAGGUUUGACCAGCAGGAAGGAGCACCCUGGAGCCUGCAGCAGCUCGGACAGCCUGCCCCACCCUGUCACAUACAUGCUCCAAGGCAUGAGGAGGGACAUCCUGUGGCCAGGCUGCUUCAACUGCAAGAUGUGAAGUGUUCACAUGCUGAGAGGGUGGCAAGGGGCCUGAUGUGCAUGCAGCUCGUGCAUGCACCCUAGCCGGCCUGCUGGGUGCAGUCCCGCACUCAAAAAGCACAUGCAAGGGCUAAUAAGGUCAAAAUGCAUGCAUUUGAGGCCAGGGGGCACCUCUGCAGCACACCUGACACCACCCCUGCAUGCUCAUCACCAAAACGCAAAAUGCUGGACAGCUGACCAUGAGCUGCCCCAAAACUUGCAGGCCCUGGGUUGUAGGGUGGCUCUGGGCACCUGUCAGGUCUGAAUAAGUUUUUAGGGGGGUGCAUGCAAGGGCAAGGCUGCCUAUAUAGGGUUAUAAUAUCACAUAAGUAGCUCUCACAUAAGUUGCUCUUUGUGUUACCAACGCAUGUGCAGGUUUUCGCUCCGCCACAACCAUCAACAUAUCUUCAGCAUGCUAACACACCCUGCAUGCAUUUACCCCUGAAAAAUGAGCAUGUUUCCCCCAGCAGGCACCCACACACCUGCACACUCCCGAUUUCCCCCAUACAACCCCUUCAAAUCACCAUGCUGGACCCCUAUGCCGAAUUUUGUGCCAAAACAAUCACCUGGGAGGCACCAACAGCACCAAAAGCCAUUAUUUGCGUCAGCACUCAGGCAAAUGAGCACCUCAAAAAGGGGGUCAUUUCGAAAGUCAUCCGUUUCGGUCAAGUAGCACACCGUUGGAAACCUCGCGAUGUCAGAAAAGGUUUGCUCAAAAUUAUUUCCUGGCUGGUCAGGGUGGGGCUCGAAGGUACAUCUUAAACAUUUGAAAGCCACAAUUAUGGCACGCAUCAGCCUUGGGCAAGAUUGUUUCUGCCCCAUUUUGCUCGUGCUAUCGUAUCAUACUAUGCCAAAAACCUAUGCCAAGUCAGGAACAGGGAGACAGCACUUCACAUCUUCUAUGCCAUGUUUUGAGUGGGCAAAAUGGCCAAAAUGGGCAAAAAACAAACAUUUUCCAGGCCAGGCAAGCACAAACUGGGGUUGAUUCCCACAACAGCAGCAUACCUACAGGUAGGUCUUAAUCUAAGGUACCCAUUAAAAAAAAUGACAAGAUUUGGGAUGUUCCCUGGCCAAUUAUCAAAGAUUAUGCAUGGGUACCCCAUGAUCUGAUCUGAAACGAGGUUGGGAGCUCCCCUGAGACCCCCCCUAGGCCGAUUUUUGAAAUUCCAAGUAUGCAGCCCUUAAUAUUCACCAAAUGUGCGCCUAUUCCAAAUUUUCAAGUCGUUUGGUGAAAGUCACCUCGGGGCGUGAACACCCCUACAAUGGCAGAGGGGGGCAGCUGUCCAAUUUGCCAGACAUGCUCUUUCCCAACUUUCUUUCUUAAGUCCGACCAUGCCAACUGUUUAAAUUUCAUAAAACAUCACGUUCACCCAAAUUUCUUUAAAAUCGGAGGUUCCCAGAUCACCCUCCUGGCCCCAGAUCACCCCAAAACGGCCCACAGCUCCACUCUGGGGCCAUUUGUCACCCCCAAACAUAUUUUUUUAUAACCCUUAUAUGAUAUGCUAACAUCCUGCAUAUUCAAAAAUAGGAAAGAUGGAGGUCAAAUGUUGACCUUUUUGACACCCCUUAGGCAAGUUUUUCUUCAAGGGAAAUGGCUGAAAUCCUGAAUCUCACCAACCACUUGGUCUUUUAACUCCAUUCUUUUUGCAAUGCUAUCAUUUAUUACAAGGACUCCAAAUCACUAAAAAUCACCCAAUUUGGUGCAGUGGCUGGUCAGAUGUGGAGAUUUUGUGGUGAAAACUAGGGUUCACGCCGCGGCUAAUUAGACAUGGUCUCCGUGACCAGCAGGUUUGAAACCCUUAAGCUACAGAUGAAAACAGGCUACAAGAGGGACCCAAACUUGAAAACUGCCAGUCACGGAAGAGCAUGCGCUAGGAGCAUCCAAAAAGCACCAGAUUUUGGGCCUCAGCUGCCCCCCUCUGCUACAAUGGGUCAGGUUUGACCCAAAACCUACCUAAAAGCCAAAAUGGGUCAGAGAACGCUUUUUGGCACCCUAUCACCUGGAAAUGGUCCAAAAGGGCCUAAAAUGCCAUAAAGAAUGCCACUGGCUCACUCAUUGGGCCCCAUUCCCACUUUUAAUGCAGAAGUGCCAAAUAAGUUAAUCUAUAGACUUUUAUGCAUACAAAAAAGGCGGUAAUCCGCCUGCCUCAUUAUCUCCCUCGAUUUUUGCCUAGCAUGCCCAGCCUGACAGAAAGAGUUCAAAUAGGAAAGAAAAAACACCCUUUAAAUUUCCUCAAGUGAAAUGGCUGAAGUUCUGUACCUGACCAACCACCGGUCUUUUCACUCCAUUUUAUUGCAGUGAUAUUACUGUGUGACAAGGACUCCAAAUAAAAUGGAUAGGGUUGGCACAAACAUUGUAAUUGUAUAUAACAUUAUGAUAUUUAUAACAUAAGUAUGUAACCCGUGUAUUUGAGUUCAGAUGUUGUAAUGUUAUGGAGUUAUGUACAUAUCAUGACGUCAUAAAUAAUAUUAUUUAUAAAGUUGUACAUGUGGUUCGUGUGCAGUAGUCGAGGAACUUCACACAGAAGUUCUGCGAUUCCGCAAGCGCAAUUCCGCAAGUCCCGUGAGUGUGUGUUGCUUGUUCGAAUUGAAUGGGAUGAGUAAAUUUGGAGCUGGUGCCGAGGCAGGUCUGGAUGAUGAGGGGGAGGUGGAGGAGGAGGAAGAAGAGGCCAGAGAGCAGAGGCAGAAGUUUCAGGCGCAGGAGAGUGCAUCAUAGAGCAGGCAAGCAAAGCUGAAUUCUGUCUGUGGAGGGAGAGGCCGAGCUGAAUACUGGGCAUGGCUGAAGCCUGUGUUGAUGAGGACAGGCCCAGGCAAGCCUGUGCAGCGCAGGCUGGUGUGCAACAGGGGCGGGGAGGCAGUGUGUGGGAAGGACCUGGCCAGUGACAACCCUGCCCUGUUUGCCAAGGACCACUAUAAAUGGGAUGGAUGCAAGGGGCUGCACGUGGAAGCAGGCCAAGCAUCUCUGAGUGUUGAGCAUGGCGAGGAGCAGCAAGGGCAACAUGGUUGGACUGCUUGGUUGUAUGGGAAUGAUGAAUCAAGACAGGGAUGUUUUACACGCAUGGCGCAAAUUACGACUUCCAGACACUCUUUCUUAUUCACUACCUCAUUUUGAGCUCGAGUAAGUUGGGUUAGCGGUCUCUACUCUUUGUAAGCUGUCCAUUGAUACCCUUGAAGUUGAGAUUUGCUUAACCUCAAAUCUGAGUAUGUAAUGUAUGUGACGUUUAUAACGUUACAUAACGUUAUAUAUGGGUUAUAUAACGUCAAGUCAUUUCGCAGCAUGACGUUUGUGCCAACCCUAAAAAUAAAACAUCCAAUUUGGUGCAGCAGGUGGUCCGGAAUAGAGAUUUGGCGGUAAGAACUAGGGUUCACGCCGCAGCUGAAAAGGCAUUGUCUCCCUAAUUGGCAGGUAUCAAACCUAAGCACUACAGAAAGACCAGAGGAAACCAAGUUUCAAAGCUGCCAGUCGGGGAGGACCUACGCAAGGAGCAUGCAAAAAGUAGGCAAUUUUGGGCCUUAGUUGCCCAUUUGCUACUGAUGGAGCACCGCCAUAUAGACGCCAGAUCGCAAACAACUUACCACAGCACCCUUCACAGCAGGGCCAAGCGUGUCUGGCAGCGAGUUAUAUUACAUACCAUCAUAAUGUUAACGUCAUAGUCGUAUAAUGUUGUAUAGUGAAUAUCAACCCCUGUAGUCAAUGUCAACCCCUGUCCAGGUGCUCAUUUGCAUUUACAUCUAUGGGGAUGAGCUGAUUUCUGGCAACGCCUGGGGCAGACCCUUAACAUAGGAGAUCUGCAUGAGCAGGCAUUCCUCUGUCCUUGGCUGCAGCAGGUGGCUAGUGGCUGCUGGGGCACUUACCUUGGGCUGGCCAGCCCCAUGUAUAUGUAUGCCAUACUCUUGUGUUUCCUAUGCCAAAGUGCUAAUCUGUACAGCACAUUUAUACGGAAUUGACUGGCCUAAAUUCUACAUUUACCUAAGCCCAUCUUGGAGCGUGUACACACCAUUGCAUGCAUAGCAAGCCAGGCCACUAGUGCAGACCAUCAAUCUGGCCAGUGGCUGCCUGGGCACCUAGGGCCCAUCUUCUGGAGCCUGUGUAAGUACCUAAUGCCCAGGCUCAUCUGGAGCCUGUACACAUGAUUUAGUGCAUGCAAGCCAGGCCGCAGGGGCAAACCAUCAUUCUGGUUCCUUGUGCAUUACCUUUAUUACUAUCUUAUUACUAUCUUAUUACUAUCCUACCUUUAUUACCUUUAUUACUAUCCUACCUUUAUUACCUUUAUUACUAUCCUACCUUUAUUACCUUUAUUACUAUCUUAUUAUCAUCAUUUUCAUUUAUUUCAUCUUGCAAUCUCACACUCUUUGCGUGAAAAUCAUGACUUCCACAUGCGACGACUCAUUUGAGUACCCCAACGCCUCAUGUCGCCUUCUCCUCAUCCUGCACCAUUGCUUUUCUCUCCUCGCAACUCAUCCCCUUUGACCUACACAUAUUUCUAACAAUUUCAUUCAUGACACCUUUCUCUUAUCCUUCACCCUUGCUCUUUUCAUGACACUUUUUUCCAUGACACUUUUUUCACUCAUCCUUCACCCUCACUUUUUUUGGUACAGUGUUGUGACUUUUGCCGCAAAAUGGAAUCGGCACCUUUUUGAACAGUGCUAAAUUGACACCAACGUCAGGUUACCACCAUUAUUAUGGGCCUUUUUUCCUGACGGUGUGAAUGGUAUGAAAAGUGGACCGUCAGGAACUCAAGCGAGCGAGAGCGCCCACAAUUGCACCCUCAAGCUGCCCAAGCACAAGCACAAGCUCAAGCACAUAAUGGUAUUUACUUUGAGCUCAACAUCAAGUCAUCCCUACACAGCAAAGCAUGUCUUUGGGAGCACAGGCCAAGAGGGCUCGCCUAGGUCCGGGUGAAGGAAGCAUCAAGCUGCCAAGCUUGGUCGGUAGGCCAGAAAUCCACCAAAAAUGGUGAAAAUUGUAUUCUUUUUGACGGUUUCUGCUGUAAGUAAUGGAUGUGUCCAACCGUCAGACGCCAAGAAGUCAACCAUUGUUUACGGCCGGAAUUUUACUUUUUGACGGUAAAAACCAAAAAGUAUGUUGCGGAAGGUGAACGCGUCAGGCUAUGGUUUAUGUAUCUAAUGCCCCUCACCUGCAAAGCCUUCUCAGAGUCUCCCAACUCAUCGUGACACCUUGCCAGCCCCAGCAAUAAGCUUGAGUCUGAUGGGUGUGCCUGCAUGCCACAUCCAGAGGGGGCAAUAAUACAUUGCAAAUUUCAGAACAAAAAAGUAAACCCAAUCAUUGGCGCAGCUUCCUUGCUGAAGCUCUUGCAUACAGCACCCCCUCCUUGUCUGCCUAGCGAUAACGUGCCACAAGCCUUGAACCUGUCCUGAUCUUGCAUUGUGCCCGCCUUCGUCAACAGCCAAACUUUUGGAUUUGUGUCAGUGUCAGGUGCAGGGCUCAGUUUUUUCCUCCAGUACCUCUGUGGUCUAUGAACAAGAAAAGUAUAGGGACGAGUUUGAACCAUAGGAAUCCCAAGUACAAACUACGGGUGCCAGAAUCAGGUGCAAAGAGCCUCAACUUAAUUUCACAUGGUGGAGUAGAGCCCAGCCCCAUUUAUUUCCUUUGUCAACCAUUGCCAAAAAGCUUGCGGAAGGUUUUGCCUGGGCUUAUCAAAAAUUGCAUACUCAAUCCUGGUGGCUGCAGCAUUAAUACACAAAAGCAACGACGAUCGCACCUAUAGAGCUGCGUUGCAUUGCUCUACAGCAGCUGAGGGAAUGUCCAGCCGCAGCAGGAGCUCACCCUUGCAAAGUGUAAUUAUGUUUGGGCUGAUUGAAAAGCUGCCUGCUUCACCUUUAAUGGCUGCAAUGUUCACCCUUAACGGCUGUCAUGUUGAUGAAUAAUUACAAAAAAGAGUCGUACCUGUAGGGCUGUUUUGCAUUGCUCAGCAGCAGCUGAGGGAAUGUCCAGGGCAGCAGCACCUCACACAACUCCAUGGACUCCUUCACUACACCACACCACACCACACCAUACCAACACCACAACACGCCCUUGCAAAGUGGACUGAUGCCCGGACUAAUCAGAAAGCUGCCCGCUUAGCCUUUGAUGGCUGCAGUACAAAGAAACAGAUGGCUAAAACAUUCGCACCCACCUGUAAGGCUGAAUUGUAUUGCUCUAUAGCAGCUGAAGGCAUGUCCAGCCGCAAUAAAACCUUACACAGCUCCAAGAUGGGUGUCACCAUUUCCUGUGCAACAGUUUGAGUAAGCCGCACGGGUCUGAUUUCAAUUAUAAUUGUUUGUUAAGCUGAGCAUCUUGCACAGUAUCGAAGGGGAGUCCAAUCAGCACCAACUGCUGCACUGGCAGCAAUCACUUAGCAGGAGUCAUCCAAAUCCGUGCCAGCAAUUUGAAAACUUCUGCCUGCCAAAUUUCCAUAAUUUCUUGUACAGUCAGGGUAAGCUUUGCCCAACUUGGACAAGAUAAGAUCCUCGGGCAUGCCGAGCCACAUUUUUUGCAGCUUUGGUCCGUUAUUCAACACCAAGUUUUGUACAAGUUUAAAAGCACUGCAGCAUGGGUUGUUCCAGAGGGUAUGCAGCUGCUGAAUUGGGAAAAAUCCAAACACCACUCAUGCAAAAGCAAGAGCACUACCCAUGUAAAAGCAAGAUAACCAUUCAUGCUAGCACCACUCAUGCAAGCACAACUCAUGCUCAAAGCAAGAACACCAUAAAUUCUUGCAAGCACCACUCAUGCGAUGCCAUCAAGUAGUAGACUCCACGAUCUGCUUUCAAGCACUUUGUAGUGGCGCCAUGGUGGAGCAGGUUGUCCUUGAAAGCUUUCAGGCAGUAAUGAGGAGAUUUCAAAAAGCAAGCAUCACUUGAAUUUUGAAUCCAGAUUUCUCCAAAUUUGCAGGUGUAUUGGUUUGAGCAUAGGCCUUUGGUUGAGAUACGUGGAUUUUUUAACAUCUGGCCCCUCUACCCUGCACUUGCACAAUUGGACAGCUGGUUUGCAUGGUGGCAACUUCUCAUUGAAGGUGUGUCCUGCAUGCAUUAAUGAGGGCAAAGAGAGGUUUGCAGAUGCAUGCAGUCAACAUGCAGAAAUUCAUCGCAGAUAUGCCUGCAAACCACUCAUCGUUUGGGGAGACGAGUGAAGGGUUUGGUGUAGCAAAGCCAGCCUCUCGUUGUGCCUAAUAUGAACUUAAAUCAAUAAAUACUUUUUCAGUAUGUACCCAAGGCUGGCUGUGUGGGAAAUUUCAAGACAAGGCAGACCAAGGUCAUUGCAGAGGUGCGCCUCCUAGUCAGCCCCCCUCCCCUGCCAGGCCACCUCUGCCAGAUCUGAGAACACCACCUGAAAGCUAGCUAAAAAAGCAAUUUUGAGCGCUGAGCUGGUUCCGUUUGGUGAACCCUGCUGCGCGCUAGGUCUGCAUGUUUGCGCGCUCAGCCAGCAAAACUCACCCCCUGUGUGCCUUAACCCUCCAGCUGCAUCCCCAAGCCUCUGAGAUGGACCCCAGGAUGGACCCUGAGUGCACAAGUGGCCACCUGCUGCGAGCUGGCGUGAGGCUGUCUUGAGGGUUACCCAAAAGUCAGCCGAGAGGAAUGAUGCCAAUAGGGAGCGGCUUUCGUUUGAUAUUUCAUGAAAUUUUGAGGCUUCAGCGGAGUGCCGGGCCAAGGUUCGGAUUUCAAUUACUUACACCGUUCAAAUUUCCACAGACAGCUGUUGAUUUGAGGAUGCAACUUCAAUGUUUGAAUUCAUGACAAGAAAGUCUAUCAUUCAGAAUCUCAGGAUCGGAUCGCCAGGUUCAAAUAUUCCAACGAGUGACUUUGCUCUUUUUAUCAUCAAAAUCACACUGACUCCCUGAGAUGUGUUUUGCCAAGCAAAUAAUAAUUGUAAUUUAUGAGCUCCAGCAACUUUGCGGGGCCCAGCAGCUCCUCCCUAGCACCCAUCAUGACAGCCCACGGUGUCAAUGUUAAUGCUGAUAACCCCAGGCAUUAGCCAGGACAAACAGCGGGUACGGAGGUGACAUAUCGGGGCUUGUCCAGGCGUCCCUGGUUACGUACCUCCCUCUUUCUGUGAGCUGGAACCCUCUGAGCCCAUACUUCAAGUGGGCAUGCGUUUUCGUACAACUUGAAAAAAAUGUGCAGGUGAUUAAUUGAGCCUAAUGCGCCUGCCAAAUAUGCAUGAGAAUCCCCAAACCCUAGCGCGGGGACUUCGAACCUUCUUGCCAAGACCCCCACAGACACCCCUUGUCCCCCGCGGGGAGGGGGGGAGAGACUCUGGUAGGGUGUGUGCCUGUCCAUGCGAUGAAAAUCCGCCCAGCAUCAGAGGGCCUCCUGACAACCCAAGAUCACUUGUAAUAUUACCAAUAUUACCAGCAGGCUUCCCAAACACUUGUUGCUGCAGUUUGGGCCUAAAGAGGGUCCCCCCCAAAAACGGCCACUGCCAGGGAUCACCAAAUAGUGCAGGCAUUGGGCAGACCUUACGCUUCCUAAUUACCAAAAAAAUUAAGAGAGAAACAUUCACAAACUCCAAACACUCACUGGUGCGCCCAAAUGAAAGAAAUCCCUGUUUUCGAUGCACUUAGCUUCAUUUGAGCCAUACCGGGAGUCCCACACAAUUCCCCAACAUGCCAGACUAGCCCUUUCCCUCAAAUAAGCAGUCCCUCAUACUCAGAAGUGGGUAAAAUGUGUCCGGCAGUACAGAAUCCAUUUUUGGAAAAAAAAUUGAAAAUUCCAACGCUAUACAUUUAACGAUCUCAGAGCAUGCAUUAAGGAAAGGGCUUCCACAAUCGCCUCCACCAGGAGUAGAACCCGCAAAUCCAUUUUUGGCAUAGGAUUGGGGGGCUGACUCCCAGCCCUCCCCUUACCGGAGUGCCUGUUCAUAUCCUGAGUCUCUCUGUGUGUGAGGAGUGGAGGAAAGCCAAACCUGGAUGCACCUGGCCCCCGUUGUUCUUUUCUGGCACCAAAAACAACCUUUCUGCAAGCUGGUGGCCCCUGAGCCCAUAAUUUAAGUAGGCAUAACUCGUCAUAAAUUAAAAAAGCCGUGAAUGAGGCUGCAUUGUGCCCGGGGCGCAUGUCAAAUUUGCCUGGAGACUCUUUCUCCCCGAGCGGAUACCUUGAACCCUUCCGCUGGAGACCCCCCGCAAAACCCCCAGACCCCCGCACAGUGAGGGGGGCUCUGGUAGCAAAUGUUUGCAAGCAAAAGGUUUAUGAAGCUGGGGACGUCCUGAACCUGAGCUUCUCCUACAAUUUCUCUUAUCUCAGAGGGGAACACAUCGCAGCACAGCUCCUGACGAGUUUGGGAAGGGAUGAAGAAGCACGCUGGAGCUUCAUGAGCAAGCAUACGUUUAGACUCGCAGUACUGAGCGCUCAGUACUGCCAGUCAAGUGCUUGAUCAAGCGCUUGAUCAAGCAAAAGGUAGGGAAAGAGAAUUCUAAUUGUGAGGUGUCCCUAUUCAUAGAUGUGGAAGGCUGCAACUUGGUCUUGCAACUCUGAGCCACUUCUGUUUGCUGUCCAUGUGUAAUGAGGGUUCUCGGGAGGACUACUCCAUGUAUGAUCAUUGCGUAGUGCUGCUCCUGUGCAGGCGAAAGGUUGCUUGCUGGGACCUGGAUGCCUGUUGUUGCACUGUUGAUGCUAGUAGUAUUUCAUUAUUGUCAUGAGCAUAGGCCUUUGGUUGAGAUACGUGGAUGUUUUAACAUCUGGUUCUGGAGGCAGCUCCCCUACCGUCACUUGGCAUCCCUCACUACACCUAUGUUGCGAACAAAUUUUGGUGUCGUAUCCCUUCAGAGAACUCUUUCAAGAGCUAUAAAAAAUCCCUCAUCAUGCCUAUGUUGCCAUUGGUUGUUGCCAAGUCCCUUCUGAGUACUCUCUCAAGAGUGAUAUGGCAUCCUUCAUUAUGUCCAUGUUGUGAAUGGAUUCUUCCAAUAAGUGCCUUCUGAGCACAUUCUCAAGAGUGACAGGGCAACCCUCACCACAUCUAAGUUGUGAAAUGAAUUCUGCCAUCAAUCCUUUCUGAGUACCCUCUCGAGAGCGACAUGGCAACCCACAUCAUGUCCAAGUUGCAAAUGGAUUCUGCGUCAACAUCCCUUCAGAGAACUCUCUCAAAGGGCAACAUUAAGCACAGGUGGAAAUUCAUGAAUUUGGGAUUAUUAUUGUAAUGUAGUAUUACUGUAAUAUUAUGGUAAUUACUUUUGAAAAAGUAAUAUGAUAUGUCGCUCCUUACUCAAGAGCGACAUGGCAACCCACAUGUGCCCAAGUUGCAAAUGGGUUCUGCAACAAUACUCCUUCAAAGAACUAUCUCAAGAGCAACAUUGAGCACAGGUGACCUGACCUGCUUGCCUGAACAGGGAUUCUUUGUCACAGCUCUGUCGGGGCGUGGAUACUCACCUGGUUCUUGAAACGGCUCAUGAAGUGCCUCUCAAACUCCCACCUGGUCCUUGAAACAGCUCAUGAGGUGCCUCUCAAACUCCCACCUGGUUCUUAAAACGGCUCAUGAAGUGCCUCUCAAACUCCCACCUGGUUCUUGAAACAGCUCAUGAGGUGCCUCUCAAACUCCCACCUGGUUCUUGAGGCAGCUCCUGAACUGCCUCUCAAACUCCCACCUGAUUCUUGAGGCAGCUCCUGAACUGCCUCUCAAACUCCCACCUGAUUCUUGAGGNCUCAAACUCCCACCUGAUUCUUGAGGCAGCUCCUGAACUGCCUCUCAAACUCCCACCUGAUUCUUGAGGCAGCUCCUGAACUGCCUCUCAAACUCUCACCUGAUUCUUGAGGCAGCUCCUGAACUGCCUCUCAAGCUCUCACCUGAUUCUUGAGGCAGCUCCUGAACUGCCUCUCAAACUCGCACCUGAUUCUUGAGGCAGCUCAUGAGGUGCCUCUCAAACUCCCACCUGGUUCUUGAGGCAGCUCCUGAACUGCCUCUCAAACUCUCACCUGAUUCUUGAGGCAGCUCCUGAACUGCCUCUCAAACCCUCACCUGAUCCUUGAGGCAGCUCCUGAACUGCCUCUCAAACUCACCUGAUUCUUGAGGCAGCUCCUGAACUGCCUCUCAAACUCUCACCUGAUUCCUGAGGCAGCUCCUGAACUGCCUCUCAAACUCACCUGAUUCUUGAGGCAGCUCCUGAACUGCCUCUCAGCAUCCCUCAUCAGGCCGAGAUGGUAGUAGCAUUUGCCCAACCGCGACUUCCACCACCAGUCCUGUGUGUGUGAAGGGCAGAAGCAAAGCAUCGGCUGCAAGCGCCAGCUCACUUCCAAUUCCAUGCGGGAUGGGGAGUGAACCACCCAUCUGGAGGGUGGAGAAAAGCAGAAAGCAAAGCAUGAUUGGCUGCAAGCGCCAGCCCACUUCCGAUUGCGUGCAGGACAGAGUAGGAACCGCUGGUCCUGAUUGUGGAAUGGGUAGAAAGCAGAGCACUUUGGCCGCAAGCACCAGACCACUUUCAGUUCUGUGCAGGAUGGAGAGCGAACCACCCGUUUGGAGGGUGGAGAGAAGCAGAAAGCAAAGCAUGAUUGGCUGCAAGCGCCAGCCCACUUCCAAUUCUAUGCAGGACAGUGUGGGAACCACUAGUCCUAAUUGUGAAAUGGGUAGAAAGUGGAGCAUAUUUGGCCGCAAGCACCAGGCAACAUUCAAGUCCAUGCAGGAUGGAGGGUGAAGCCCUAAGUGUAUAAGGGGCAGAAAGUGAAGCAUGAAUAAUUAUAAGCGCCAUCCCAAUUCCAAUACCAUGUAGCAUCUAGACCGAAAGCAUACAGCGCAAACCUGAGAGAGUUAAGGAAGGUGAGGAGGUCUGGACCAAGCACUGGCCAGAGCACGAGCUUACUUUGAUUCAAGCAUCAGACGGGAAAGGGCAUGGGACGAGCUCAAGCAUCACAGACGCAUCCUUGCACAGAGCACUGCUGACAAGCCCACAACAUCUUGCAUGCAAAGUGCUCCUGGAUUGUCCAAAAAUGCAGGGCUGCCUCGAAGUAAUCCUGCAUGUGAAGUUCCAUGUACUCCACAACUCACUUGAAACAUUCAGCAAUUUAUUUGAAUUAAUUUGAAACAAAUUUAAUUCAUUCAUCACUGAUGAUUGUGAUGAUGCAGUGUCGUCAUUACACUGCACGAUGAUUCUUUCACAAUUUAUACAAACAAACAUGAGCUCAAAUUGAUCUAAGAGAAAUAAAGAGUCUCCUUUAUUUGUUGAACAUGCAUGAAACACUUUCACUGGAAGUUUCAGAAGCCUCACGCAGCAAGCUUUGUUUCCACAUCCCACCACAAACUGUGAACAGGCAAGCUCAAAACACUGUCCAUACACAACCCACAAAAAGCGUGAGGCACAACUGCCAACAAAUGUGAGCCCGCAUGGCCAGAGCACAUUGAAACUGCAUGUCUGCCAGGUACCCAUACCUGCCAAAAGAAGCUUGCAAGUGCCUCUUUGGAUCUCUUAGGCCUUCUUCAAAGCUCCCAUUGAAACACGCAUAACCCUUGUAUAUACUGCUGCAUGAUGAUUUGGUCAACAACAGGCCACUAUCCGCAGAAACACAGAACCUACCCAAAGUUGGCCCCACAGUGGGCAUUGUCUUUUCUGUGUGAUUGCCAGAUCCUUAUCCUCCCCUCACACAACUUCUCCAAAAAAGCCAGUAAAAAGGACCUCAAAGCAAUGUUAACAAUCACCUCAGAAGGUACAAGCUUGUCCUCCUCAGCACAUACCAUGAAAAUCAUGUUUGCAAAACACACACACACACACACACACACACACACACACACACACACACACACACACACACACACACACACACACACACAUUCUUGAAUAGGCCAGCAGCACAAGCAAAGAGGCAAUGAGCACACCAACCUCAAAGUUGUGGGCCUGCGUGGCCAGCGCACACAGCUCAAGAGCUCUCCUCAUAUUGUGAUCCACGUAGAUCAUGUAAUCACACAGUGCUCGGGUGAGUGCUGGCCGAGCAACAUACUUCCUGCACAUUGAUUAUUUAACCAAUCAUGAUUAAGUGCAACCAAUCAUGCAAUGGAUCAAUCAUGCAAUUACAUUGGGUGAGGGGGAGUGCUGGCCGAGCAACAUACUUCCUGCAAGUUCCUCAACCAUGUAAUCAGUCAUGAUGACUCAUGAUCAUGUGGUUGAUGUUAUCAAUCAAUCAAAACCAUUAUCAACCAAUCAAAACCCUAAUCAAUCAAUCAUGUAACCGCGCAGUGCCUAGGCAACUGCUGGCCGGGCAACACAUUUCCUGCAAAUCGAUUGAAUCGUAAUCAAUCAUGAUGACAUGUAAUUGAUCAUGUAAUCAACCAAUCAUGUAACUAUAUUUGGACGAGGGGGUGUGCUGGCUGGGCAACCAAGUCCCUGCAAAUCAAUCAUGUAAUCAAACAAUCACGUAAUCACACAAAUCCCCAUGAGUGUUUGCUGAGCAAUGUGCUCCCUGCGAAUCAAUCAUGUAAUCAAUCAUGAUUAAGACUAAACAAAUGAUGAUAUCAAUCAAUCACGUAAUCACACAAUUGCCGGGGUGAGUGCUGGCGGGCAACAUACACCCUGCAAAUCAAUCACGUUAUCAAAUGUGAUAAUCAGGGAAUAAAUUGAUGAAAUCAUUCACUCAUGUAAUCACAAAACCCAGGUGAGGGCGCAUGCGUGUGUGUGCGUGUGCGUGUGUGCGUGUGUGUGUGUGUGUGUGUGUGUGUGUG